rnacentral:rRNA from 1 species
UGUGUAGGCGGUUGUUUAAGUUUGGUGUGAAAUCUCCCGGCUCAACUGGGAGGGUGCGCCGAAUACUGAAUGACUUCGAGUGCGGGAGAGGAAAGUGGAAUUCCUGGUGUAGCGGUGAAAUGCGUAGAUAUCAGGAGGAACACCGGUGGUGUAGACGGCUUUCUGGACCGUAACUGACGCUGAGACACGAAAGCGUGGGUAGCAAACAGGAUUAGAUACCCUGGUAGUCCACGCCCUAAACGAUGCAUAUUUGGUGUGGGCAGUUCAUUCUGUCCGUGCCGGAGCUAACGCGUUAAAUAUGCCGCCUGGGGAGUACAGUCGCAAGACUGAA